rnacentral:rRNA from 1 species
CUGCAAGUCGAGCGGAGUCUUGUUGGAAGCUUGCUUCCACUUGGCUUAGCGGCGGACGGGUGAGUAACACGUAGGCAACCUACCCUUCAGACUGGGAUAACUACCGGAAACGGUAGCUAAUACCGGAUAAUUCCUUUUCUCUCAUGAGAAGAGGAUGAAAGGCGGAGCAAUCUGCUACUGAGGGAUGGGCCUGCGGCGCAUUAGCUAGUUGGUGAGGUAACGGCUCACCAAGGCGACGAUGCGUAGCCGACCUGAGAGGGUGAACGGCCACACUGGGACUGAGACACGGCCCAGACUCCUACGGGAGGCAGCAGUAGGGAAUCUUCCGCAAUGGGCGAAAGCCUGACGGAGCAACGCCGCGUGAGUGAUGAAGGUUUUCGGAUCGUAAAGCUCUGUUGCCAGGGAAGAACGUCCGGUAGAGUAACUGCUACCGGAGUGACGGUACCUGAGAAGAAAGCCCCGGCUAACUACGUGCCAGCAGCCGCGGUAAUACGUAGGGGGCAAGCGUUGUCCGGAAUUAUUGGGCGUAAAGCGCGCGCAGGCGGCUAUUUAAGUCUG